rnacentral:rRNA from 1 species
CCUACGGGAGGCAGCAGUGAGGAAUAUUGGUCAAUGGACGAGAGUCUGAAGCAGCCAAGCAGCGUGAAGGAUGACUGCCCUAUGGGUUGUAAACUUCUUUUAUAUGGGAAUAAAAUGUUCCAAGUGUGGGAUUUCGUAUGUACUAUAUGAAUAAGGAUCGGCUAACUCCGUGCCAGCAGCCGAGGUGAUACGGAGGAUCCGAGCGUUAUCCGGAUUUAUGGGGUUUAAAGGGAGCGUAGGUGGUGUGUUAAGUCAGUUGUGAAAGUUUGCGGCUCAACCGUAAAAUUGCAGUUGAAACUGGCAGUCUUGAGUACAGUAGAGGUGGGCGGAAUUCGUGGUGUAGCGGUGAAAUGCUUAGAGAUCACGAAGAACUCCGGUUGCGAAGGCAGUUCACUGGACUGCAACUGACGCUGAGGCUCGAAAGUGUGGGGAUCAAACAGGAUUAGAUACCCCUGUAGUC